rnacentral:rRNA from 1 species
UAGGGAAUCUUCGGCAAUGGACGAAAGUCUGACCGAGCAACGCCGCGUGAGUGAAGAAGGUUUUCGGAUCGUAAAACUCUGUUGUUAGAGAAGAACAAGGACGUUAGUAACUGAACGUCCCCUGACGGUAUCUAACCAGAAAGCCACGGCUAAUUACGUGCCAGCAGCCGCGUUAAGACGUAGGUGGCAAGCGUUGUCCGGAUUUAUUGGGCGUAAAGCGAGCGCAGGCGGUUUCUUAAGUCUGAUGUGAAAGCCUCCGGCUCAACCGGGGAAGGUCAUUGGAAACUGGGAGACUUGAGUGCAGAAGAGGAGAGUGGAAUUCCAUGUGUAGCGGUGAAAUGCGUAGAUAUAUGGAGGAACACCAGUGGCGAAGGCGGCUCUCUGGUCUGUAACUGACGCUGAGGCUCGAAAGCGUGGGGAGCAAACAGG